ACCCACUUCUGUGGCCUUUCGGUAGCUGUCGGCAGUAGAUGCCAACGCUGAGCACUGUUAGUUGCACGUGAGAUGAAUUGUUGGCCUUUAUUGAGCCGGUAUUCUCGUCUUGCGGAGUGUGCCUUGAAUAAAACAGAGUGCUUAAAGCAGGUCAUUGCCUGAAUGUUAUAGCAUGGAACGAACAAUCGUGUAUAUGUAUGCAUCCUUGAAUGGUGAUGAGCCUUAGGUUUGUUGUUACUCAGGAUGCAUACGGCACCCACCAAAAUAUGGCUGUUGGUUCCAUAUACGGUGAUGAUUAAAAGGAGCGGUUGGGGGCAUCGGUAUUUGGCCGCGAGAGGUGAAAUUCUUAGACCGGCCAAGGACUAACAAAUGCAAAGGCACUUGUCUAGACCGUUUCCAUUAAUCAAGAACGAAAGUGGGAGGUUCGAAGACGAUCAGAUACCGUCCUAGUUCCCACUGUAAACUAUGCCGACCUGGGAUCAGUUUAGAGAUGUUACAAGCUCUAGAUUGGUCCCCCUGGGAAACCUGAAGUUUUUCGGUUACGGGGAGAGUAUGGUCGCAAGGCUGAAACUUAAAGGAAUUGACGGAAGGGCACCACCAGGGGUGGAGCCUGCGGCUUAAUUUGACUCAACACGGGGAAACUUACCUGGUCCGGACAUCGAUAGGAUUAACAGAUCGAUAGCUCUUUUAUGAUGCGAUGAGUGGUGGUGCAUGGCCGUUCUUAGUUCGUGGAGUGAUCUGUCGGCCUAAUUGCGGUAACGAACGAGACCAUAGUCUCCAUUUAAGAAAUAGAAGCAGACGAAGGGCGGCGUGAAUCGCAAGAUUCAACUCGUCCAGCGUUGUAGGUCGGAUU
rnacentral:rRNA from 1 species